rnacentral:misc_RNA from 1 species
CCGAGCGUCAUUGCACCCCUCAAGCUCUGCUUGGUCUUGGGUCGUCGCCCCUAAAGCGUACCCGAAAAGCAACGGCGGUCCGGUGAGACUUCGAGCGUAGUAAAUUUACACCCCGCUCGGGAAGCCUUCACAGGGACCUGCCCACCCCUCAAUUUUCAAUGAUUGACCUCGGAUCAGGUAGGGAUACCCGCUGAACUUAA